CUUAUAGGCUAGGGGUGUUCCUUGACAUAUGUCAAAGGGCUGAGAAAUACCCUCAUUACUUGAACUGGAUAAUGCCAGCGUAAGGAAGCACUUAUAGGUAACC
rnacentral:ncRNA from 2 species